rnacentral:rRNA from 1 species
AUGGCGGCGCCGCCGGCGGGCCUUGUCGAUGUGUUCCGGACGGGAUGGGACUCAUGGGAGGAACCGCAGCAGCAGGAGGAAAAGCAGGGCGCCGCCUGCAAGAGGAGGAAGGCCGCCGCCGACGUCACCAUGGACCUCGCCAUCCUCGACUGCCCCGUCUGCUGCCACCCCCUGCGCUCUCCCAUCUUCCAGUGCACUGUGGGGCAUACCAUAUGUUCAUCUUGCCAUGACAAGCUUCCCGAGAAGUGCCACUUCUGCUCCCUUCCCACAGUCUACAGUCGCUGCCACAUGGUAGAAAAUGUAGUUGAAUCCAUCAAAGUUGCUUGCUCCAAUGUCAAUCAUGGAUGCACCGCAAGGAUGACCUACUACCUGAAAGAAGAACACGAGAAAGGUUGCCCACAUGCACCAUGUUUCUGCCCUGAAACUAGCUGCGGCUUCAGCGGAUCAACCGCGAGGCUCCUGGAGCAUUUUUUAGGCAAGCACAAGUGGCACUCACCAAAAGUUACAUACAACAAGGCGUUCCAGAUCCGCGUCCAUCUGGGAUCAACCGUUCUGGUGGGCGAGGAUGGCCACCUCUUCCUGGUCAACAUGACACUGGAGCCUCUCGGUGGUGUCAUCUCAGUUUGCUGCGUCCAGCCUCACUUUACUGGAUCCAAAUUCAAGUGCAGGCUGGCAUUGUCGUGCACUGAACCAAGCUACUGUCAGGCUAUGGAAUUCUUAACGAGGAGCACUAAUCUGUAUGAUGGGUUUCCCAAAGAUUGCUUCCCGUUCCUUGUGCCGAAGAUGUUGCUUCGGGGCACCGGUGCAAGCACCACAGCCAUGGUGGGGGUGACCGUGACACCACAAUAG